rnacentral:rRNA from 1 species
UCAAGCUACUAAGGGCACAUAACGGAUGCCUUGGCUCUGACAGGCGAUGAAGGACGCGGCAAGCUGCGAAAAGCUUCGGGGAGUGGCAUACACACUAUGAUCCGGAGAUAUCCGAAUGGGGAAACCCUAUGGAAGUAAUGUUCCAUAAUCCUCUGCUGAAUAAAAUAGGCAGCUGGAAGCGAUACCCUGGGAAGUGAAACAUCUCAGUACCAGGAGGAGUAGAAAUCAAUUGAGAUACCGCAAGUAGUGGCGAGCGAACGCGGUACAGCCUAAACCGGAGUGUUUACAUUCCGGGGUUGCGGGACUCUAAUAUGGCAUGCAGACGGUUAACAGAACGCUUUGGAAUGAGCGGCGAGACAGGGUGAAAGCCCCGUAAGUGAAAGCCCAAUGCAGCCUAAGAGUAUCCCAAGUAGGGCGUCACACGUGAAACGACGUCUGAAUCAGGGGGGCCCACCCUCCAAGGCUAAAUACUAGUCAGAGACCGACAGCGCAUAGUACCGUGAGGGAAUGGUGAAAUAGAACCCCGGGAGGGGAGUGAAAAGAACCUGAAAUUAUGUGUCUAUAAAGUGUGGGAGCGCAAGCGACCGCAUGCCUUUUGCAUAAUGAGUCUGCGAGUUACUCCUGUAUAGCGAGGUUAAGUUAAGAACGAAGCCGAAGCGAAAGCGAGUGUUAAUAGCGCGUAUAGUUAUACGGGGUAGACCCGAAGCUGGGUGAUCUAACCAUGGCCAGGCUGAAUCUUCCGUAACAGGAAGUGGAGGGCCGAACCAGUUCAUGUUGAAAAAUGUUUGGAUGAGCUGUGGUUAGGGGUGAAAGGCCAAUCAAACCCAGUGAUAGCUGGUUCUUUCCGAAAUAGCUUUAGGGCUAGCCUUAUGUAAUAGUUAACGGGGGUAGAUCACUGAUUGUUCGCGGGCCCUUACCAGGGUACCAACAACUAUCAAAAUGCGAAUACCGUUGACAGUAUCAUAGGAGUCAGACUGUGGGGGCUAAGCUUCAUAGUCGAGAGGGAAACAGCCCAGACCGCCGUCUAAGGUCCCUAAUUUACACUAAGUGGCAUGAAGGAGGUAGAGUUGCAUAAACAGCCGGGAUGUUGGCUUAGAGGCAGCCAUCAUUUAAAGAGUGCGUAAUAGCUCACCGGUCGAGUGAUUCUGCGCCGAAGAUGAUCGGGACUAAGUGUAAAACCGAAGAUGCGGGUAAAACAAUGCAUAUUGCACUGUUUUACGGUAGGAAAGCGUUGUGUAUGGGGUGAAGUCGAAGCGUAAGCGACGGUGGACCGUACACAAGUGACCAUGCAGACAUGAGUAGCGAAAAACCAGGUGGAAAUCCUGGUCACCGAAAGCCUAAGGAUUCCGGGGGAAGGUUCGUCCGCCCCGGGUUAGUCGGCCCCUAAGGCGAGGCCGAAAGGCGUAGUCGAUGGACAAACGGUUAAUAUUCCGUUACCACCUCAUUUAAGUGAUGGAGGGACGCAGGGAGCUAAGUCAGGUGUCGAAUGAAAGUGACACUCUAAGGCAGUAGGAAGUGAUAUAGGCAAAUCCGUAUCACAUAUAUUCCGAGAGCUGGGGAAGCUGAGUCUACGGACAAAGCUAAUUGACUGAUGCUGCACUGACAAGAAAAUCUUCUAAACGUUAUAAAAAAUGAGGUGACCGUACCGCAAACCGACACAGGUAGGCGAGGCGAGAAGCCUAAGGUGCGCGAGAGAAACCACGUUAAGGAACUCGGCAAAUUAACCCCGUAACUUCGGGAUAAGGGGUGCCUUUGAAGGUGAAGAGACUUGCUCUCGGAGCUUUUAGAGGUUUCAACAAAGAGGCCCAGGCGACUGUUUAGCAAAAACACAGCACUCUGCGAACUUGUUAAGAGGAUGUAUAGGGUGUGACACGUGACCAAUGCCGAAAGGUCAAACGGAGAGGUUAGUCAGCAAUGACGAAGCUUUGAAGUGAAGCCCCGGUGAAUGUCGGCCGUAACUAUAACGGUCCUAAGGUAGCGAAAUUCCUUGUCGGGUAAGUUCCGACCCGCACGAAUCGUGUAACGAUCUGGGCACUGUCUCAACGUGGAUCUCGGCGAAGUUGUAAUUCCGGUGAAAAUGCCGGAUACCUGCAGUAGGACGGAAAGACCCCGUGAACCUUUACUGUAAUCUGAUAUUGGUAUUUGGGUACAGAUGUGUAGAAUAGGUGGGAGACGUUGAAACAGGCGCGUCAGCGCAUGUGGAGUCAUAAGUGAAAUACCACCCUUGUGUAGUCGGAUAUCUAACCUUGUCCCGUGAAACCGGGAAAGGAACAGUGUCAGAGGGUCAGUUUGACUGGGGCGGUUUCCUCCUAAAGAGUAACGGAGGAGCUCGAAGGUACACUCAGCAUGGUUGGCAAUCAUGCGUAGAGCGUAAGGGUAGAAGUGUGCUUUACUGUAAGACAGACAUGUCGAGCAGUUGCGAAAGCAGGACCUAGUGAUCCAGCGGUGGAAUGUGGAAUCGCCGUUGCUCAUCGGACAAAAGGUACUCCGGGGAUAACAGGCUGAUAGCGCCCAAGCGUCCAUAGCGACGGCGCUGUUUGGCACCUCGAUGUCGGCUCAUCACAUCCUGGGGCUGAAGAAGGUCCCAAGGGUUCGGCUGUUCGCCGAUCAAUAGCGGUACGUGAGCUGGGUUCAGACCGGCGUGAGCCAGGUCGGUCUCUAUCUGAUGCGGGCGUAGGAAAAUUGAGGGGACCUGCCCUUAGUACGAGAGGAUCAGGGUGGACGGACCUCUGGUGUGCCAGCUAUCCCGCUCGGGGUAAUCGCUGGGUAGCUAGGUCCGGACGGGAUAACCGCUGAAAGCAUCUAAGCGGGAAGCCCACCCCAAGAUGAGUUUUCCCUGAAGCCCCCCCGAAGACUACGGGGUUGAUAGGCCGGAGGUGUACGGUCCGCGAGGGCCUCAGCUUACCGGUACUAAUCGGUCGUCCGGCUUGGCCUU